rnacentral:antisense_RNA from 1 species
AAAAUGUGUCUGGAAUUGGUGGGUUCUUGGUCUUACUGACUUUAAGAAUAAAGUUGCAGACUUUUGUGAUGCCAAUAUUUUACCUCUUGGGUACUUUCUGUGUAGAAGAUUCAUAACAAGAACAAUGCUUAUUCUGCAAUUCUUUAUAUAAAGCUCCAGAGGGAAGUGAGAAGGAUGUUCACUUGCUGGUGAGAGAAGGAGCUGGUUCCAUCCAUUAUGCAGUCCCCUGGGAGCGCUAAAUGCAACUUUAUCUCAACGGGGAGUGGACGAUGAGCAGGACGUCGCUAGAGGGAAAGAGCACAAAGGAAGUAGACCAAGGAGACUGAAGAUGGUUAUGAAGACUGUGCAUCUCUGAGGACAUCUUAAACAAAGAUGACCCAAACCUUUGAUCUUCAAAUAGUCGAUGUGAACUGCUUAACAAAAUGCCCUGGGAAAACUCUGUCUGAAACAAGCAGCUUGGGGGUUUGAUUUCAUUAGUUACUGGACAAGAACUGGAAUGGAGUGAAAAAUCUUCAUUCAUUUCUUGGUCAGAUGGAGAGAGGAGAAAAAAAGAAGUGGGUUUCCAUUCACUUCCAUUUUCUAACU